rnacentral:lncRNA from 1 species
UCUUUUCUUCUUCGUGUGUUUCUCAUGGGGCAAGCAUAAUCAUUGAUAUGAAUAGUCAUGAAAAUAUCAUAUCACUACAACCAACAAUCUAUCAUCUGCUCCAAAAUUGACACCUAUGCUUAUUAUACAUACCAAAAAAACAACUACAAUGUUGCAGUCAAGACAAAAUUUUGAAAGAGUAUUAAUGGACCAGGCAUUGACAAAAUGAUUCUGUUAGUGUAACGCAGACCAAAUGACAUGGCACACACACCAAUCUAUUCAGCAGUAUUACAUUAAUCAGACAAUUUGUUCAGCACAUGGUAGCUAUAUAAAUAGUCCAAAUAUCGUUCAUGUUGACAGAAAUCCUAUAUACAUAAGAAGUUGAUCCCCACUACCCAAUUUGACAUGCAAGCCAUCCACAUCACCCACAUGUACAUGCAGCCACGUCACCUCUCCCAGAUGUGUGAACCGACCCAUCCAUCUCUCUGACUGUUAAAAAAAGACCCAUCUUUACCAAAUCCCCACGCCGGUGGUCAAAGCAGUUGGUGGUGGACUAUCAAUGACAGGUCUUCCCUCCGGCCUUUCCCCUUCCUCGUCUUUUCCAAUCCCCACUCAAUAUCAUCUAGGCUCCUCCGUUUUCUAUUUUUCCCGUUACCAAUCGCCGCUUCAUAUCUCGCGUCAUCCGGCUCCUCCGUUUCCCAUCUCAACCAUGGUUGGCUUGCUUCCAUAGUCCAAAAUACAUGGCAUCACAUCCAAGGCCUCUCAGAUCCAGCCCAUAUGGAGAUGAUGAUUUAAUUGGUGCCAUGGAGCCACGGGUGGGAGUUGCUAAGGCUGGUCACAAUAAGCAAGAACAUAAGCUAGUAACUUCACACUUCCCUAGACUAUGUUACUACCACCAUAGUGGGUAGGAACAUCUAUGUAAUGUCAUGCAACGAUGUAUUUAUUAGGUUAUAGACUCAUUGUUUCUUGGAGUGUGUGAUGUUCCGGUAACUUAGCUAGUUACCACAAACACCUCUCUCUUCACUAAAUACGUGCCACAUAAGCAAACUUGUAUUGGAGUGUGUGAUGUUACUCCUAAGUUCCUCCUCACUGUGACCAGCCUAAGGUACACUUAGCUGCUGACGUUAACUGCUUGGAUUGACCGCAUCAUGUUCAUCGUCGACGCCGCCGACCAAUCGGCAACCAUGACGGCGCCACUGCAGCACAAGUAGUGUGCAAGCACCGACGCAGACCAAUGGGCGACUUCCACCGGUCCGGCCGUAACACGCAUCGUCCGCGGCUGGAUAGUUAUUACGCAAAUUUUUAGGUGGAUAACUAAUUUCAGUUCUUGAUGUUGCAGAGUACUAUUACUGAAAACUCUAUCUUUUGUCCUUGAAGAUUUUUUGGCGUAUUUUGGGAUCACGACAGCCUCUGGUCGUUCACGCCUUUCCCUUGCCUUUCAGAUUUUUUGUUGGCUAAUUUUAAACGAGGCUCAUGGAGCCAACUUUUGUUAAACCUUCCCUGUAAUCUUUGUUGGAACAUAUAGUCUAUUUGUUACUAAUGCAUGCACAACUAAGCCCUCUACAGAGAUCCCGCGCAAGUCUCGCCACUUUCAGCCUCUCUGGUGAGUAACACUUUCUCCUCUUCCACGUCAGAUCAAUUUUUUUUCUACGCAUUUGCAGCUGCUUUGAAAAUGUGGAGAUAGUGGGAAGUAGGAAGCAUAUGGCAACUGACGAUUCAUGACAUUUAUAGUUCAGCUGCUCUGUAUAUGAAUUCUCACGAGUUGAUUUUACCUCGUCAUUGGCAUCUAAAUUACCACUUCAAAAACUCUCUUAAUGUUAUUGUUUGUGUUGUGUACUGCAUCUAAAUUUUCACUACAACAGUAAAAUGUUACUACAAUUAUUUGAUUGUUUGCAUAUGUAGUUUUUGUUACCUUUUCUUUCAGUUUCAUCAUGCUGUUACAAGUAUAUGAUAUAUAUUCUUGUGACAUUUGUUGUUCUAUGUAGAUUUCAUUAUGUCAUGUACAAUUUGUAUCGACGGUUCAAGAAAGAAAUCAAUCAUAGUUUGUAUUGUUUACAGAGCCACAUUUCAUUCUAUGUGUAUAGUAUGCCCCUUUAUCGACACCAUAUUUUUUCUGGAAAAUUAAUGCUUAAUUUAUUUAUUGACACCAUAGAUUGUGAUAUCUAUGGUUGUUUCCUUUUUAUAUUGUCACGUGAUACCAUUGUUUUACUACUAACCAUGAUCUGAAGGCGUAUAAAUAUUUGUGCUUCAUGAUUUUCCCAAACAUAAUCCUCAAGAAAGUUUUGGUGUCUAAACACCUAUUUAAAGAAAGUUUUGUGCUUCAUGGUCUGAAGGAGUAUUUAAUUAUUUUAUUUUUAGCAGUAUUCCCGCAGCAACGCGCGGGGUGUCAUCUAGUUAGCAAUGCUCACGGCUACAUACGAAAUUGGCCAGAGUCAAUUUUCUAGCAUCUUCUAUUUUUACACAGCGUCACAUGCCAAGUUUCCAAAGAUUGAACUUAAUAAAGACAUGCGUUCACGUCCAUACAGGAGCUUUAGUGUCGAUCUGCCCAAUAAAUUGCUCCGAUGCUGGCGAUGAAUCUUUCGUUCAAGCUUCUAUAGCCCCUCCGCCGCAUAGAUCUGGCCGUCUCCACUCACUCGCCUCAUAGGCAGCAGCUGCUCCACAUGUUGAUCCACUCAUUUCUGUCUCCACUCACUCCCCUCAUAGGAAUACUGAAUCAUAAAAAUAUUUUCAGAGUAUUAGGAUUGUAUCAUGAAUUAUGUUCACUUCUAUCAACACCUCACAAAGCUUUUGUGUUUGGUAAGAAAAUUCAGCAUAUAUGAAGGUAAAAUGAAAUCAUCAAUAUAAUUCCCACCUAUACUACUGCAUGGAACAGACAUGAAAUGUCAUGGAAACUGUCGAAACUUACUUCUCUAGAAAUACAGAGCGUUCAAUACUGACUUGCACAUAAUUCGCAAUUAGCACCCAGGUUUCAUCCAAUAUGUAGAUGCGGCGAACAGGAGCACAUACUUGGACAGAGCAUACCGCAUGGGGGCGAGGCUCCAGUCCAACACUUCCCCAGCCCUCCGAUUUUAUUGCAGUACUUUGUAUGUCAUAGGUGCCCUUUAUUCACACGUGUAGUACUAUUUUUCAUUGACACGGAAACUUCCUAGACUAUUACCUCAAAUACAAGCUCCUUUCGUAGAUAUUUGUGGAGCACUUCUAAAAAAACCAAAAUCUGAAAGUAACUAAAUCACUGUAUUUAACCAAUUUUAUCUUCUUGGCAAAUGAAAGUAUAGCUAGCUAUAGCUUUGUAUCAAAAGUGACAGAAGAAUUCAACAGCAGUACAUUAACGGAGACCUCAGGUAUGGAAGUGUUUUUGUCGCACGCACACAUAUGUGUUUGUAUUGUGUGUGUNNNNNNNNNNNNNNNNNNNNNNNNNNNNNNNNNNNNNNNNNNNNNNNNNNNNNNNNNNNNNNNNNNNNNNNNNNNNNNNNNNNNNNNNNNNNNNNNNNNNNNNNNNNNNNNNNNNNNNNNNNNNNNNNNNNNNNNNNNNNNNNNNNNNNNNNNNNNNNNNNNNNNNNNNNNNNNNNNNNNNNNNNNNNNNNNNNNNNNNNNNNNNNNNNNNNNNNNNNNNNNNNNNNNNNNNNNNNNNNNNNNNNNNNNNNNNNNNNNNNNNNNNNNNNNNNNNNNNNNNNNNNNNNNNNNNNNNNNNNNNNNNNNNNNNNNNNNNNNNNNNNNNNNNNNNNNNNNNNNNNNNNNNNNNNNNNNNNNNNNNNNNNNNNNNNNNNNNNNNNNNNNNNNNNNNNNNNNNNNNNNNNNNNNNNNNNNNNNNNNNNNNNNNNNNNNNNNNNNNNNNNNNNNNNNNNNNNCCUUGAGGCAAGCAAAUAACAAAUUAUAAAUUUGACAAGCAUGUUGGUUGAUAUUUAAACAGGAUAAUAAAUAAACCAAGAUGUGAGACUAUUCUAUGGUGUACCUAAUCAAAAAAAAAUCCUUUGUGUUUCAGUUGUAUAUAUGUAACUGUAGAAAAAUAUUGACAUCCGCAAGAGAUUAAAAAAAGCACCAUGUCAUACCUACACGUAUUUGAUUUCUUCCCAUAUUCUAUCCACAUUCCCAUUCUCCACAAAUUCCUCCUUCAAGUCUCCAUCUUCUGACUAAAUUCAAUCAGAUCUGAAGCUCAUGCAUCCUCCUUUUUGUAUUGGUCUUCGUAUGGUCUUCCUACAUUUUGUAUUGCCUGCAUUUAUAGCACAGAUCUAAUUUUUGCAACCAAGAUUUGAGUUCCCAAUUAAUAUGAUGUGUUAAAAAUUUUGUAGAGUACUAAUAAUUUCUAACGACCCUUGUUGGCUUUGCUUUCUUCUACUCGGAAAUACCAGAGCAUCUUACGAAAAUGAAGCUUUCCAAUACGAGCUUAAUUCAAGAAAAUGUACUGCUCUUUACAAGUUUAAUUCAAGAAGCUCCACGACCAUUGUAACCUACAAAAACGAGGAAACAUAUAUCAGAUUCAGUGACGUUGUAGUUGUGUUCUCUCCCAGAAUAAGCUAGUCAGAUGCAUCUUUCCAAUACUACUCUUUAGUAGUUUCGCUCCCUAAUGGUAAAGUAUAUAGAUGCAAAAGGAUUUUGCAUACUACUAAAAUGCAUAGCCAUUCCAAUACACUGAUCCAACAAGCACAUUAUCGUUGUCGGUUAGUGGUUGCCGGUUGUCUAUGCUGGUUCUCUCCCUUAUCACUUAAGGGGCUUUGGCGAGACCAAGUUCUAAUCUCUGCAAUUUUACUUCACUCCUCUGCAUUAGUGUCAUUAAUUCAGUGGCGCCAUCCGAGCUAGCGGCACUAUCCAAUCCAAUUUCCUAUAAAUCAUGAUUAACAACUCUCUUCUCUUUUUACAUGUUUUAAAAAUCUGCAUAUUUUCUUGGAAUAAUUUCAAUAACAUAAUUGAAUGGCUCAGUAUAUGCUCACAUAUCCCCGCUCUUACAAGCUACCAUAAAGCUUGUAUCAGACUGGUAGUGUAUACUAUAUUGCUAACUCUGAGAUUGGAUUUUGUGUUAAUUAUAGACAACAACAACAAAGCCUUCAGUCCCAAACAAGUUUGUGUUAACUAUAGAAUCUUGAAAAAAGAAAUAGUGGGCUGAUUAGAUAUAAUAAGAUUUAAAAUAGAAAAUAAAUGAUGAAUAGCAAAUGACCAUUUUAAUCAAGCGCUAGAAGUCGCUGCACACUUAAAAAAGAAGCUAAUUGCACAUCAGCUCCGUCUUGAUUCGGUGCCACUUUAGAAUUAGAGGAAAUUUAGGGAGGCAGAUCACAUUCUUUGUUUGUCUAAUGCCAACUUUAAUCAUACACUAUGAAUCUACAAAGUUGACUUGACCUACAAAUUUCUGAAUUUAAUUAGUGUGACUACUUGUUGGAAAGAAUCAUCAUCACAUGACAAAACAAAUACCCAAAAUAUGUUCCCAUCACAUGACACAACCAAGAUGUGCAGGCAAGCAUGAGGUUGCAAUGAAAUGUAAGAACAAAGAAUUAUAGUCGGUUGGGUGGGUUGUGGUCACGUGUGAUGAGGACAGUGAGCCCGGCAGCGUAAAUGCCGUCAGUUAUCUGCUCCUCCAUGGACGCUGACCGAAACACACUGGAGCCCGACUUGCUGGAGAUGAGCGACAAGAUACCCAUCUGGUCAUUAGUGGACUCCCUAACAGAAGGGAGCCCAUAAAUAGGAGGUAAAAAAAGAAACAAAACAGAGUGCGAGUCCCCAAGAACCACAUAACGACCAGUUCAAAAAAGAGAAAGAGCCACGAAUCGAUUCUCACCUGAUAGGUUGUCCUUAGUGUAUAGCACCUGUAAGUACUGUCGGGAGAUAGAAAAGGAGUAAGGGCACAACAGAAUACAAUAUCAUGUCAUGAUGAGUAAAAGGUGUAUGUUUGAACAUACCAUCCUAUGGCUUUGUUUGGCAAAUAUCUUGGCAUUCCCUGAAGAAAAGGUUGGCCUGUAGCACAAGUUUAGGUCCUAGUUUUCAGUACAAUCAGUUCGGUUCGAUAAUCUCAUUUGCCGCCAUAGUGUUUUGUUCUCUAGUUACACACCCACCCUGAAAUACACCAAAUAACUUGAUUUGAGAUAUGAUCGACAGUAUUUUUCUCAUUGUUCAGUACCAUGCACAUAUCCUUUUCUUAAAUGCAUAAACAUGAUUCUUUUAAUUACAAAGGCCAAUAACCAAAUAACAUGCACGCUUUUUAAUUCAUUGUUGGAUUGGAUGCAAAUGUAGCAACAACCUUUUCUAUUAUGAACAAAAGUGUAACACCAGCAUGGUUGUCAGAAAUUAACUAUAGUUAAAACCACUAAAUAUGGUUGGAUAUAAAUUAGAAAAGGAAACUUGUUUGUUUAAGAAAUUAAAGCAUGAUUAAGAAGUCCCCUUAUCUCUAAUCGAUGUGAUCUCUACCACAGCAAGGCUUCUAUGUCUGAAUAGUGAAUGUACAGUGUUUUACAGAGAGUUUAUAUCAGAAACUGGUUCCCUAAUUUUCUGAUACUCCACCCACGAAAAUCUCGAGACUUGUAGCAAAGAUAUAUAUAUGUAGCACAACAAAUAGCUCUCAAACUUGAUAGAUGCUUACCAUGGGACAAAUGGGCAAUGUAUUCACUUCUCUUGGCAGCAUGAACAUUCUUCGUAUACAAUAUGUCUGUUUUGGAUGCUUGCAUCGUGGCUCCACCAAUGGACACCCUACGGUUUACACCACCCAUCGAGUGUCUAGGCGCCUUCUUUAUACUUUGAGGCUUGGAUGGACUUGGUUUUGAACCGUAGAGAAUUGAACACCGACCGUCCUUCUGCCCACGCCUCUGCCUUGAGGUGGAUGCUGACUGCCCUCCAUCCCUGGCCGACGAGAGAGAGUGGAGAUGAGGAGAAGCUAAGAUGGGGCGAAGACGGUGGUGGAUAGUAUGUAAACAAACAUUGCAAGUAAUAGUAUGAGAACCAAUUGUAAAGAAAAAGGACAACCAAAAAUCAAUUUACCCGCACUUUACCAAAUCUGGCAAAAUACUCUUUGAAGUCCUCCCUUAAGGUUCUCUUUAUGAAGCUUGUAUGAAGCAGAAUCUACAUGAUUAUAUUCUGCAAGAGACACCACUCUUAAGAGAAAUAAAAUAAAAUAGGAAGUUAAGAGGUCAUCAGGCAAGACAUAAGAAAAUAAUGACUACCAUGCAGCAAAAAUAGCAUCAAGACCAGGUGCGAGUUCACACACCCUUAUGAUGAUCCGGUAUAGUUCCUAGGGCUGAAAAUCAGGGAGGAAACUGCAGUAACAUUAAACCUGAGCGUGCUUACCAAUGAGGCGUUGAUACAAACUGGAUUCUGUUCUGGGCGUCUCACUCUUCCAAUAAGAAGCGUAAAACCAACCUAGAAUAGCAUAUCCGCAUAGUCAAGGUAAGGAUCAGCACAUAACUUUAUGCCCAAAAACAAACAUGUCAUCAUUCUGUUGUUAGUAUCAACUAUGUACAGAUUAUCAUACAAGAUUUCCAUUACCCUGAACAUUAGUACACGAGACGAAAAGGAAACCUAUAAACUAAGAUUUCCAAAAUAAACAGAAGAAGCUACUACUGUGCAUCAUAUCCCACAAUUAAUUCAUGAUGCUAGCGAAGCUGUACAAGAGCCCAAAAGGAAACCUAUAGUAUUAAGUGCAGACUUCAUCUGAAUAGCCUUGCUUGUUCAGUGUUCCUAGUUAUUGUGAGGACUUUAAUCCUAAUUUAAGCGACCUCAUCCGGGUCUCAAAUCAAAUGUACCACAGCUCAAAGAGCCGCAAAUCUGGAGAUAUACUAAAGAGCCACAGCUUUCUUUGCUUCAGCCUUCCGCCCUAAAAUAUAAAGCGGCCAUUCAACCUGCAGGUUGCAGUUUCAAGUAAUCACAAGGCAAAACAAGCACAAGAAAGUAGCCUGAACCCUACAAGCCAAUUGUUUCCCUCACUUCUGAACCCACACUAUGUUGGAAAAUGUUCUGCAUCACAAGUGCAGACAUAUCAAACGGACCAGUCCAAACUCUAAGCAUCAACAAAUUCAGUUUUGAACAACAAAACUCAAACGAAACAAAGCCACGAGAAACCCAACGGUGCAUCCAGGAGCAAAUCAAGAAUCCCUAGAGUGGUCGUUUUGAACACAUACACACAAAUAGUAAUGGCAGAUUGAUGAUAAGCUACAAGCACCACUACAAUUUGUACGCACUGCUUGGGUAUCUUGCAAAUAAAAUAGAGGUAAUAAAUUCCUUAUAUCUAAUCACGUGAAUAUAGAAAACUGAUUACCUGUGGUUUGAUUCCAUGUGCUCUAUCCAAAAUAGAUCAAAUCUGCAGGACAUCCUAGGCUAUGAGUGGUCAGCUGUAGAUGCUGUUGCUUGUGCUUUUGCACCAAAGGGGCCUGAAGAGCCCCAUCUCCCUUCAACAACCUUUGAAUAGUAAAGAACAUCAUAUAACAAGUAACUAGAAAAAAGAUAGUCUAAUCGAAAUCAACUCGUUUGAAUAACCAUAUGUGCAUAGUGACAAAAGUAUGUUUCACAGGGGGAUUGCAAAGUAUGUUGCAGCCUAAGAAGCAAGCUUCAUGCGUUGUCGAUGCUCGAAGUUGAUGUAUAUAUGUUAACCCCACCGUCCCAAUAAGGUGAAUAAAUCUGCGAAAGAAAUAAACUUGGCUUAGACCCAAAAGUAAGCUAGCUUAAAAGAAAUCCUUACUGAUGGCGCCAGUCAUAUAGGAUUGCCCAUAGCUUUUGCACUUUCUCUCUGCAAUCAAAAUCAAUCACCAUGACAUAAAUCAACAAUAUAUACACUCCAUUGCGAACAUACAGAAUGGGGAGAACCAAAACACCUUGAUGUAUUCAUAUCAUCCAUAAGUUGUAAGGAUGGAGCUCCAAAUGCAAUAGCAAACAUGAAUCGUAUUUCUUAACUGUGGUAAGACAAAAAAAAUUAGGAUGAUUAAAACGAAUUAGGAGGAUGAACCUGGUGGGGGAGGUGUCGUCCAGAGCGGUGCAGAGUGGUCACUGGAGGUCAGCCUCACUCCUCAGCUUCUUGGCGGACGAGGGCGGCUAUGGAUGGUGAUGCAUAUGGUGAGCAGCCUCUGGCCUCCCCUGCUCCCCCAUGGUCCUGCUCGACGCCCGUGCUGCCCAUUCACCGCCGACAUCACUUGCCAAGUUGAGAUUGAGUGAGAGAGAGAAAGAGAGAGAGAGAGGAAAAAAAUAGUGGAGGGAAAGCUCAGAAACUGCUGCUCACACAAAGAAAAACAAUCAGAUUAUAGGAUACAUGUGGUUUUAGAAAAAGCAAAAAUGUAAUACAUACAACAUCCACUAAAAACUGUAACAAAGUUUGCUGGAUUGAUGCCAAACCUACUGUGAACUUCACACUAGGCACAACAAUAUCCCCUCUAUUUUUUCAGUUCAAAGCAAGACAAAAUGAAUUGUAAGAUGGAAACCUACUGGAACUCGUUUUCUGAUGGCUAGCAGCAACAUAAAACAACAACCACUUCUAUAAACUGAACCAAAAAAGAAAAUGAUCCAGAACUGAACCAAAACGUCAUGUUUCCGAUUUCUGAUAUUUUUCCUCCAAUCUCCUGCAGACAGGAGAGCAGUAUUGCACUAAAAAUAAAUAAACAAACUUGAGAAUCUGAAUACUACUGUAAGGCAUAAGAUGUCCUUGGCAUAAUUAUAAUAAAGAAGGGAAAAACUGAACCAAAAUGUGGUGUGCACCUCACGUCCUCAAUGGAUGCAUGCACAAGAUGCUGCUGCAGGUGAUAUAUAUUGUGAGCCACCUGGGGGUGGGGUUAGAUAAGAUUGGAUGGGGGAAGCUCACCUCACGUCCAGGCGAUGGCUGCUCCACCUCCUCUCCUCUCCUCUCCUCUGGCCGCUGUGCCACCUAUAGACAAGUGAAGAGAGAGACACGCAGGGGUCAGAGGAAGAAGAAGCCGCCUGCACAUCACUCACUCACUCACGCAUCACAGGAACAAGGAAGAAAACCAGAGGAAGAAGAAGAAGGAAGGAGAUCUGACCUAGGGCGCCAUGGGUGGGGCUCGAUUGCUAGGGUUUUGGGCGGUGGCUACGGGGUGGAAGGAGGUUGCUUCGUGGUGGAGGAGCCGAGCCGGCGGCGGUCCUCUGCUGGUCGACGCAGCCAAAUCCAUGAGAUCCAAAUCCUUCGCUUUCGCUCGACGCGCUAGGGGCGGCUACGUUGGCCUCCCCACCUUGAGAUCCAAAUCCAUCCCGUCACCCGUAUUCCUCCCUCAUCUGGCCAUGGAGAUCAGCUCAUCCUCUCCCGAGAGUGAGGCGCCUUUGAUGUGAGACGAGUGCGACGGCGAAGGGAUGAAGGGCGGCGGAGGCGAAGGGAUGAAGGCGGCGACGAACGAGGGCAGGGAGUCUAGCGUGCGAGCCGUUCUCGCUCGAGGGCAUGCGAUGUCGCUCGUACACGCAGGUUUUUUUUCGCUGGUUAUUUUUCGUAGGUUUUUUUAUCGCUGGUUAAUCAUCGUAGAUUUCUUCUUCGUCCUGAAGAGCGCGGGGGCUGGUGGAGGAUUUGGUACGUGGUUUUUUUCGGCUAGUGGUGGGUCAGCAUGAGGUGCGAGCAAGUACCAAAGAAGUACCAAAAAAGACCGGGUGAGGUGGGACGAAAAUAAAAUCCGGAACGCGACCUACCAACUAAGACAUUAGGAGUAGAGAUAGCGGGGCGCAAGCCUAUUUCGGUAAUCAUGUCUAGGCUGUACGGGCCCAUUCGUAGGCACCAAACAAAUAUGUCAGGAAAAUAAAGGCAAGGGGUUCAUAGGCGAACUCCCGACCUCAAGCUCGGCAGCAGUGUUAGUAACCACUCGAGAUAACAAUCGUUUGUAGCUAUGUUGCAGCGCCGUUUUAAAGUGCUAAGUAUAGCGGCAAAUACAUCUUUUCCCCAAAUUUGUUGAAAAAAUGUGAACAAGUUUCUUUAAAAAUGCGAAUAAGUCUCAAAAUCGUGAACAAAUUUUGAAAUUCAAAAAAAAAAAUAAAGUGGGAAAUUUUUUCAAAAAGUUUACAAAAAACUGAAAAACAUGUUUUUUAAAUCUGACCAGUUAUUGAUUUUUUUUAUAUACGAUGAAAAACACUUAAGUAUACAUUGGACACCUUUGUAAUAUAUGUUGAACAAUAUUUAAAUACACAUUGAAUAAUUUUGUGAUAUACGUUGUAACUAUAGUUAAAUACAGAUGAAACAUUUUCCUGAUAUACGUUAAACAAUAUUUAAACACUCAUUGAAGACUUUCGUGAUAUACACUACGCUGAAUAAUUUUUUAAUACACAUGAAUUUUUUAAAAAUAUAUUGAACAUUUUCUGAAUACACGGUCAACAUUUUUUAGAUGUAUGAUGACCAUUCUAUUAAUACAUAGCUGAACUCUUUGUAUAAAUACUCAAAAGGAGAAGAAAAAGAAAAAGAAAAAGAAAAUAAACGCAGAUCCUGGUGUCGUGGCGGUGCAGAUCUCCAACGGCGCGGCUGUGCACGUCCGCUGCGGCGUGGUGGUGCAAGUCUAUGGUGCGCGGCGGUGCCGCGAUUGGCAUUCGGCAGAGUGGCUUGGCGGGUGGGCGAGUGGUGGGCCAGAGAGAGAGAAAAAGAGGAUGUGUGGGUAUGAAUGCCAGGUGGGCCGAGAACACGUGCAACGGGCAGAGGCGGACAAAAAGGACACAACAAACGUCUGCUUUGUGUCCACUUCAGACCCAAAUCAGUCUUAAAUUUGGGCACGAAAUGGAUCCCGCGGAUACAAAGCGGACGCAUUUUGGGUAUGCUUCGGCACAUUGGGCCAUCAUUUUUGUCCGGGGCGACCAAACGGACGUGGGCGGGCGAAAUGGAUCGUUCGGUUGGAGUUGCUCUUAUAUAUGCUAUUGUUUCUCUUAUUUCUCGUGACAAGUUGCAUUCUUGUUUUUGUGAGUAGUACCAUGGUACAUCACUAAAUCUUGGU